AUUGAACGCUGGCGGCAUGCCUUACACAUGCAAGUCGAACGGCAGCACGGGAGCAAUCCUGGUGGCGAGUGGCGAACGGGUGAGUAAAGUAUCGGAACGUGCCCAGUCGUGGGGGAUAACGUAGCGAAAGUUACGCUAAUACCGCAUACGAUCUAUGGCUGAAAGCGGGGGAUCGCAAGACCUCGCGCGAUUGGAGCGGCCGAUAUCAGAUUAGGUAGUUGGCGGGGUAAAGGCUCACCAAGCCGACGAUCUGUAGCUGGUCUGAGAGGACGACCAGCCACACUGGGACUGAGACACGGCCCAGACUCCUACGGGAGGCAGCAGUGGGGAAUUUUGGACAAUGGGCGAAAGCCUGAUCCAGCCAUGCCGCGUGCAGGAUGAAGGCCUUCGGGUUGUAAACUGCUUUUGUACGGAACGAAAAGGUUUGGCCUAAUAAGCUGAGCUCAUGACGGUACCGUAAGAAUAAGCACCGGCUAACUACGUGCCAGCCGCCGCGGUAA
rnacentral:rRNA from 1 species